UUUUAUGGAGAGUUUGAUCCUGGCUCAGGAUGAACGCUGGCGGCGUGCCUAAUACAUGCAAGUCGAGCGAACGGACGAGAAGCUUGCUUCUCUGAUGUUAGCGGCGGACGGGUGAGUAACACGUGGAUAACCUACCUAUAAGACUGGGAUAACUUCGGGAAACCGGAGCUAAUACCGGAUAAUAUUUUGAACCGCAUGGUUCAAAAGUGAAAGACGGUCUUGCUGUCACUUAUAGAUGGAUCCGCGCUGCAUUAGCUAGUUGGUAAGGUAACGGCUUACCAAGGCAACGAUGCAUAGCCGACCUGAGAGGGUGAUCGGCCACACUGGAACUGAGACACGGUCCAGACUCCUACGGGAGGCAGCAGUAGGGAAUCUUCCGCAAUGGGCGAAAGCCUGACGGAGCAACGCCGCGUGAGUGAUGAAG
rnacentral:rRNA from 1 species